CAGUAGCCGCGGUAAUACGGAGGGUGCAAGCGUUAAUCGGAAUUGCUGGGCGUAAAGCGCACGCAGGCGGUUUGUUAAGUCAGAUGUGAAAUCCCCGAGCUUAACUUGGGAACUGCAUUUGAAACUGGCAAGCUAGAGUCUUGUAGAGGGGGGUAGAAUUCCAGGUGUAGCGGUGAAAUGCGUAGAGAUCUGGAGGAAUACCGGUGGCGAAGGCGGCCCCCUGGACAAAGACUGACGCUCAGGCACGAAAGCGUGGGGAGCAAACAGGAUUAGAUACCCCGGUAGUCCCUGUCUCUUAUAC
rnacentral:rRNA from 1 species